UUAUAUAUAAAUAUACAAAAUGUAUAAAAUUGGAACGAUACAGAGAACAUUAGCAUGCCCCCUGCGCAAGGAUGACUCGCACAAAUCGAGAAAUGGUCCAAACUCUA
rnacentral:snRNA from 1 species